UACGUAGGGAGCAAGCGUUGUCCGGAAUCAUUGGGCGUAAAGCGCGCGUAGGCGGCCCUGUAAGUCCGUUGUGAAAGUCAAAGGCUCAACCUUUGAAAGCCGAUGGAUACUGCAGGGCUAGAGUCCGGAAGAGGCGAGUGGAAUUCCUGGUGUAGCGGUGGAAUGCGCAGAUAUCAGGAGGAACACCAAUAGCGAAGGCAGCUCGCUGGGACGGUACUGACGCUAAGGUGCGAAAGCGUGGGGAGCAAACAGG
rnacentral:rRNA from 1 species